GAUGAACGCUGGCGGCGUGCUUAACACAUGCAAGUCGAACGAUGAAGCCCAGCUUGCUGGGUGGAUUAGUGGCGAACGGGUGAGUAACACGUGAGUAACCUGCCCUUGACUCUGGGAUAAGCCUGGGAAACUGGGUCUAAUACUGGAUAUGACUUCUCAUCGCAUGGUGGGGGGUGGAAAGAUUUAUUGGUCUUGGAUGGACUCGCGGCCUAUCAGCUUGUUGGUGAGGUAAUGGCUCACCAAGGCGACGACGGGUAGCCGGCCUGAGAGGGUGACCGGCCACACUGGGACUGAGACACGGCCCAGACUCCUACGGGAGGCAGCAGUGGGGAAUAUUGCACAAUGGGCGCAAGCCUGAUGCAGCGACGCCGCGUGAGGGAUGACGGCCUUCGGGUUAUAAACCUCUUUCAGUAGGGAAGAAGCGAGAGUGACGGUACCUGCAGAAGAAGCGCCGGCUAACUACGUG
rnacentral:rRNA from 1 species